GAGAAUGUAGGUGAAGCUCUCCAUAGGUUUCUGACGAGAUUCUGCGACAAGUGUGAAAACAUUGAAUCAGAAUUUCGUAAGAACCCUGAAUGAAGAGCUUGAGGGAGAUGGGAACUCCAAAGACCAGGCAUUGAAGCGAUAGGUGAAGCUGGAGUAGCGGCUGUUAUGUGGCGUUCGGGGCUAGGGUGUCAGAGGUAAGGAAAAAGGAGAAAAAAAGAGGAACCUGAAGACAGAGCAAGUGGCGUAUCGUUGAAGAAAGAAACGUCCAGUAUUUUUUUUUUAAGAAGAAAUGUCG
rnacentral:misc_RNA from 1 species